rnacentral:lncRNA from 1 species
GAGAUAUGAAAGGCUCGGAAAGAAAAAAAAAAAAAAAAAAGAAAAGAAAAAAUGCACUUACCGAGACCUUAGAGUCCAACAGAUAUGAAAUGCUCGGAAAGUUGAGUAGAAAAAGAGUCAAAAGAGUUUUUACCCCAAAAAUAUAUGUGAUGCACAGGAAAAGAAGAAAAAGUACACAAUAUGAUUACCGAGUUCAAAACCCUUUGUUACCCAAUUUUUGUUUAUCCCACCGUACCCAAGCCCCGUUACAACCUAAAAAGACCUCAAAAAGUGUGUGAAAUCUGCUGUGGUAAUGACAUUAGAAUGUGUUCAAAGUUAAGAGUCUGAUACUGUAUACUGUGCUGUGAGUGUACACACCUAACCCCGAGAGAUAUUGUGAGUGAGUGAAAAGCUUGCAGGU